ACGGCCACCCUCUGAGCUCUCCGCAGCAGGAGGAAAACGUCAGAGAGCCCUUAAGGCCCUGUUUCCUCACCAGAAGGAAGGUGGCUGACACAGCCAUGAUCACCCCCAAUCUGGAGGCUCAGACUAGAGUGGCCCCAAACCCCUGGGGACAAGGCUAGAAAGUGGACGUGGCCACACAGACAGCUCACAGAAGCUGAAUCUACCAAGGACAUGCAUGGCACACGGGCGUGUACACACACACGUCUGACUCACACCUCAUCCUCCCUUUCGCUUCAGCUGGGGAAGGAGGUGGAAAGGUGACGUUCAAGACUGGAGGGUAAUUUGCCCAAGAAUGCAGCGAGCAAACAUCUUAAAACACCAUGGAGAGCCUCUGAAAA
rnacentral:antisense_RNA from 1 species